rnacentral:rRNA from 1 species
CCUGCGGAAGGAUCAUUAUUGAAUAAACUUGAACAGGUUGUUGCUGACUCCUUGAGGGGUAAGUGCACACUUGUCAUAUUUAUUUCUCCAACUGUGCACAUACUGUAGAUUCUGGUUUUUUGUUCUCUAAAGAGAGAGAGAGGAUUGCUGUGCUUUUUUAGAGUCAGCUUUUCUUGCAUUUCCAGGUCUAUGUUAUUUUUUCACAACCUCUGAAUGUAAUAGAAUGUUGAAUUUUCUGGAUAUAUAAUACAACUUUCAGCAAUGGAUCUCUUGGCUCUCGCAUCKAUGAAGAACGCAGCGAAAUGCGAUAAGUAAUGUGAAUUGCAGAAUUCAGUGAAUCAUCGAAUCUUUGAACGCAUCUUGCGCUCCUUGGUAUUCCGACGAGCAUGCCUGUUUGAGUGUCAUCAAGUUCUCAACCUCAUUUAUCUAAUGUGGCUUUGGAUGUGGAGGUUUUUGCAGGCUUUUCAAGGUCGGCUCCUCUGAAAUGAAUUAGUGGUAUCUGAGCAGUAAAAUUACUAUGGGUGUGAUAAACUUGUCUAUGCUCUUGGUAUACUGCAUGAACAGAUUGCACUGCUUCUAACAAGUGGAAACACAUUUUGACAAAUUUGACCUCAAAUCAGGUAGGACUACCCGCUGAACUUAAGCAUAUCAAAUU